rnacentral:tRNA from 1 species
GACGGUAUAUCUCAGUGGUAGAAUGCAUUCUUAGCAUGCAUGAGGUCCUAGGUUCAAUCCCCAGUACCUUCA